rnacentral:rRNA from 1 species
CGUAGGUGGCAAGCGUUAUCCGGAUUUACUGGGUGUAAAGGGCGCGCAGGCGGCCUCGCAAGUCAGAUGUGAAAGCUCAAGGCUUAACCUUGGAAUGUCAUCUGAAACUGCGGGACUUGAGUAUCAGAGGGGAAAGUGGAAUUCCUGGUGGAGCGGUAAAAUGCGCAGAGAUCAGGAGGAACACCGGUGGCGAAGGCGACUUUCUGGCUGACAACUGACGCUGAGGCGCGAAAGAGUGGGGAGCAAACAGGAUUAGA